ACGGGACCCGCACAAGCAGCGGAGCGUGUGGUUUAAUUCGUUGCUACACGAAGAACCUUACCUGGGUUUGACAUAUAGGUUGUAGGGAACUGAAAAGGGACCGACCCUUCGGGGAGCCUAUACAGGUGUUGCAUGGCUGUCGUCAGCUCGUGUCGUGAGAUGUUCGGUUAAGUCCGCUAACGAGCGCAACCCUCGUCGUAUGUUAUAUGUGUCAUACGAGACUGCCGGUAAAAAGCCGGAGGAAGGUGAGGAUGAUGUCAAGUCAGCAUGACCUUUAUAUCCAGGGCUACACACACGCUACAAUGGUCUGUACAAUGGGUAGCCAAGCCGCGAGGCGGAGCCAAUCCUGAAAGCAGGCCUCAGUUCAGAUUGCAGUCUGCAACUCGACUGCAUGAAGCCGGAGUUGCUAGUAACCGCAGGUCAGCAAUACUGCGGUGAAUACGUUCCCGGGUCUU
rnacentral:rRNA from 1 species